CCCCAGACUCCUACGGGAGGCAGCAGUGGGGAAUAUUGCACAAUGGGGGAAACCCUGAUGCAGCGACGCCGCGUGAGCGAUGAAGUAUUUCGGUAUGUAAAGCUCUAUCAGCAGGGAAGAAAAUGACGGUACCUGACUAAGAAGCCCCGGCUAACUACGUGCCAGCAGCCGCGGUAAUACGUAGGGGGCAAGCGUUAUCCGGAUUUACUGGGUGUAAAGGGAGCGUAGACGGCAGCACAAGUCUGGAGUGAAAGCCCCGGGCUUAACCCGGGAACUGCUUUGGAAACUGUACGGCUGGAGUGCUGGAGAGGUAAGCGGAAUUCCUAGUGUAGCGGUGAAAUGCGUAGAUAUUAGGAGGAACACCAGUGGCGAAGGCGGCUUACUGGACAGUAACUGACGUUGAGGCUCGAAAGCGUGGGGAGCAAACAGGAUUAGAUACCCUCGUA
rnacentral:rRNA from 1 species